UACAGAGGUCCCGAGCGUUGUUCGGAUUCACUGGGCGUAAAGGGCGCGUAGGCGGCCACCGCAAGUCGACUGUGAAAUCUCCGGGCUUAACCCGGAAAGGUCAGCCGAUACUGCGGGGCUAGAGUGCAGAAGGGGCAACUGGAAUUCUCGGUGUAGCGGUGAAAUGCGUAGAUAUCGAGAGGAACACCUGCGGCGAAGGCGGGUUGCUGGGCUGACACUGACGCUGAGGCGCGAAAGCUAGGGGAGCGAACGGG
rnacentral:rRNA from 1 species